UUCCUACUCCCUCCGUCCGAAAAUACUUGUCAUCAAAAUGGAUAAAAAGAGAUGUAUCUAAAACUAAAAUAUGUCUAGAUACAUUUCCUUUUAUCCAUUUUGAUGACAAGUAUUUCCGGACGGAGGGAGUANNNN
rnacentral:pre_miRNA from 1 species